ACCUUACCAAAUCUUGACAUCCUUUGACAACUCUAGAGAUAGAGCCUUCCCCUUCGGGGGACAAAGUGACAGGUGGUGCAUGGUUGUCGUCAGCUCGUGUCGUGAGAUGUUGGGUUAAGUCCCGCAACGAGCGCAACCCUUAAGCUUAGUUGCCAUCAUUAAGUUGGGCACUCUAAGUUGACUGCCGGUGACAAACCGGAGGAAGGUGGGGAUGACGUCAAAUCAUCAUGCCCCUUAUGAUUUGGGCUACACACGUGCUACAAUGGACAAUACAAAGGGCAGCGAAACCGCGAGGUCAAGCAAAUCCCAUAAAGUUGUUCUCAGUUCGGAUUGUAGUCUGCAACUCGACUACAUGAAGCUGGAAUCGCUAGUAAUCGUAGAUCAGCAUGCUACGGUGAAUACGUUCCCGGGUCUUGUACACACCGCCCGUCACACCACGAGAGUUUGUAACACCCGAAGCCGGUGGAGUAACCUUUUAGGAGCUAGCCGUCGAAGGUGGGACAAAUGAUUGGGGUGAAGUCGUAACAAGGUAGCCGUAUCGGAAGGUGCGGCUGGAUCACCUCCUUU
rnacentral:rRNA from 1 species